CCUACGGGAGGCAGCAGUGAGGAAUAUUGGUCAAUGGUCGGGAGACUGAACCAGCCAAGCCGCGUGAGGGAUGAAGGUACAGAGUAUCGUAAACCUCUUUUGUCAGGGAACAAAGGCGGGGACGUGUCCCCGGAUGAGCGUACCUGAAGAAAAAGCAUCGGCUAACUCCGUGACAGCAGCCGCGGUAAUACGGAGGAAGCGAGCGUUAUCCGGUUUUAUGGGGGUUAAAGGGUGCGCAGGCGGUCUGUUAAGUCAGCGGGAAAAGCCCGGGGCUCAACCCCGGCCCGCCGUUGAAACUGGGAGUCUCGAGUUGGAGAGAGGUAUGCGGAAUGCGCGGUGUAGCGGUGAAAUGCAUAGAUAUCGCGAAGAACUCCGAUUGCGAAGGCAGCAUGCCGGCUCCACACUGACGCUGAGGCACGAAAGCGUGGGUAUCGAACAGGAUUAGAUACCCCUGUAGUC
rnacentral:rRNA from 1 species